UACGUAGGGGGCGAGCGUUGUCCGGAUUUAUUGGGCGUAAAGAGCGUGUAGGCGGCCAGGUAGGUCCGUUGUGAAAACUCGAGGCUCAACCUCGAGACGUCGAUGGAAACCAUCUGGCUAGAGUCCGGAAGAGGAGAGUGGAAUUCCUGGUGUAGCGGUGAAAUGCGCAGAUAUCAGGAAGAACACCUAUGGCGAAGGCGGUUCUCUGGGCCUGUACUGACGCUGAGGAGCGAAAGCGUGGGGAGCGAACAGG
rnacentral:rRNA from 1 species